GGUCCCUUGGCCCAGUUGGUUAAGGCGUGGUGCUAAUAAAUUCAUUUUGUUACGCCAAGAUCAGCAGUUCGAUCCUGCUAGGGACCA
rnacentral:tRNA from 1 species